rnacentral:rRNA from 1 species
UACGUAGGGUGCAAGCGUUGUCCGGAAUUAUUGGGCGUAAAGAGCUCGUAGGCGGUCUGUCGCGUCGGCUGUGAAAUCCCGGAGCUCAACUCCGGGCCUGCAGUCGAUACGGGCAGACUGGAGUUCGGCAGGGGAGACUGGAAUUCCUGGUGUAGCGGUGAAAUGCGCAGAUAUCAGGAGGAACACCGGUGGCGGAAGGCGGGUCUCUGGACCGAUACUGACGUGAGGCGCGAAAGCGUGGGGAGCAAACAGG